rnacentral:rRNA from 1 species
UACGUAGGGGGCAAGCGUUGUCCGGAUUUAUUGGGCGUAAAGAGCUCGUAGGUGGUUUGGUAAGUCGGAUGUGAAAUCUCCAGGCUCAACCUGGAGGGGUCAUUCGAUACUGCCAUGACUUGAGGUCGGUAGGGGAGUGUGGAAUUCCUGGUGGAGCGGUGAAAUGCGCAGAUAUCAGGAGGAACACGGUGGCGAAGGCGGGUCUCUGGGCCGAAAUUGACGCUGAGGAGCGAAAGCGUGGGGAGCAAACAGG